CCGAAAUGUGCGGUCCCUCUCCUCCUCCCUGGGACCAAACAUUCGCGGCGAUGCCUCUCCUCCUCCCUGGCAUCGCCGCACGCUAUUU
rnacentral:ncRNA from 16 species